rnacentral:rRNA from 1 species
AGUGAACGCUGGCGGUAGGCCUAACACAUGCAAGUCGAACGGCAGCACAGUAAGAGCUUGCUCUUACGGGUGGCGAGUGGCGGACGGGUGAGGAAUACCGGAAUCUACUUUUUCGUGGGGGAUAACGUAGGGAAACUUACGCUAAUACCGCAUACGACCUACGGGUGAAAGCAGGGGAUCUUCGGACCUUGCGCGAUUGAAUGAGCCGAUGUCGGAUUAGCUAGUUGGCGGGGUAAAGGCCCACCAAGGCGACGAUCCGUAGCUGGUCUGAGAGGAUGAUCAGCCACACUGGAACUGAGACACGGUCCAGACUCCUACGGGAGGCAGCAGUGGGGAAUAUUGGUCAAUGGGCGCAAGCCUGAUCCAGCCAUACCGCGUGGGUGAAGAAGGCCUUCGGGUUGUAAAGCCCUUUUGUUGGGAAAGAAAAGCAGCAGGUUAAUACCCCGCUGUUCUGACGGUACCCAAAGAAUAAGCACCGGCUAACUUCGUG